UUACCCAAAGCUCUAAGAUCCAAUCCACUAGAACUUCUUCAUUUUCCGCUUCACGUCGCUCAAUCAACCUUCUACCACAAACAACUUCAAGCAUAACCAACCCAAAGGCGAAAACAUCUGUGCUUGUAGUUGCUCUUGUUGAAAGUUAAACUUGAUUUUGAAUCAAGUUUAAUUAUUGGAUCAAUUAUCCAAUAAUUAAUUAUGGCCAAAUCCAAGUUCUAGAGUUUUCUCUAGAAAUAUCAUCAUUUCCACCUCCUUAAAGGAUUCUAGAAAUUUUCUAGAAUCAUCUUCCACCUCCUUAAACAUAAAAAUCUAGAUACUCUAAUAGAAUAAUCUAGAUAAUUUGAAUAAUGUAAUCUAGAUCUUAUGUAAGAACUCUCUAGACUUAAGAUUAAAAUAUUUUAGAUAUUUUGUAGUUUGGAGGCUAUAAAUACCUCCUCCCCCUCUCAAAUGUUGUAAUGUUGUGAAGUUGUAUUCAAGUUUAAAGCAAAGUAAUAAAAGUUCUAUUUCCUAAAAAACUCUCUCAAAACACUUAAACACUUUCUCCAUUACCUCUAAAAGAAUUUUACUCUAACAAAGUGGUAUCAGAGCUUGAAGAUCCUAAAGAUGGCGAGUAACAAUGUUCCCUUCCAAGUCCCGGUGCUCACAAAGAGCAACUAUGAUAAUUGGAGUCUACGAAUGAAGGCUAUCCUAGGAGCACAUGACGUGUGGGAGAUAGUCGAGAAAGGUUUCAUUGAACCGGAGAAUGAAGGUAGUCUUUCUCAAACUCAAAAAGAUGGUUUGAGAGACUCAAGAAAGAGAGACAAGAAAGCUCUCUGUCUAAUCUAUCAAGGAUUAGAUGAAGAUACGUUCGAGAAGGUCGUUGAAGCUACGUCGGCGAAAGAAGCAUGGGAGAAGCUUCGAACCUCUUACAAAGGUGCCGAUCAAGUCAAGAAAGUACGUCUUCAAACUCUAAGAGGAGAAUUUGAAGCACUACAAAUGAAGGAAGGUGAACUCGUCUCCGAUUACUUCUCAAGAGUGUUGACGGUUACUAAUAACCUUAAAAGAAACGGAGAGAAGCUAGAUGAUGUGAGAAUCAUGGAGAAAGUUCUUAGAUCAUUGGAUCUAAAAUUUGAGCAUAUUGUCACCGUCAUUGAAGAAACAAAAGAUUUAGAAGCUAUGACAAUAGAGCAACUUCUUGGGUCAUUACAAGCUUAUGAAGAAAAGAAGAAGAAGAAAGAAGAUAUCGUCGAACAAGUCCUCAAUAUGCAAAUUACAAAAGAAGAAAACGGCCAAAGUUACCAAAGAAGAGGUGGUGGUCAAGUUCGAGGACGAGGUCGUGGUGGAUAUGGAAAUGGACGUGGUUGGAGGCCACAUGAAGACAACACAAACCAAAGAGGUGAAAACUCAUCAAGAGGUCGUGGGAAAGGACACCCAAAAUCAAGAUACGAUAAAUCAAGUGUCAAAUGCUACAAUUGCGGGAAGUUUGGACAUUAUGCUUCUGAAUGUAAAGCUCCUAGCAACAAAAAAUUUAAGGAGAAGGCCAACUACGUUGAAGAAAAAAUUCAAGAAGAAGACAUGUUAUUAAUGGCUAGCUACAAGAAAGAUGAACAAGAAGAGAAUCAUAAGUGGUACCUCGAUAGUGGUGCAAGUAAUCACAUGUGCGGGAGAAAAAGUAUGUUCGCGGAGCUUGAUGAAUCGGUGAGAGGAAAUGUGGCUUUAGGAGAUGAAUCGAAGAUGGAGGUAAAAGGUAAAGGAAACAUUCUCAUUCGAUUGAAGAAUGGAGAUCAUCAAUUUAUUUCCAACGUUUACUAUAUUCCGAGCAUGAAGACAAACAUCUUGAGCCUUGGACAACUCUUAGAGAAAGGUUAUGAUAUUAGAUUAAAAGAUAAUAACCUUUCAAUAAGAGACAAAGAAAGCAAUCUCAUUACCAAGGUGCCAAUGUCGAAAAAUAGAAUGUUUGUCCUCAACAUUCGAAAUGACAUUGCACAAUGUCUUAAGAUGUGUUACAAAGAGGAGUCUUGGCUAUGGCAUCUUCGAUUCGGACAUCUAAAUUUUGGAGGAUUGGAGUUGCUUUCAAGGAAGGAAAUGGUGAGAGGGCUACCUUGUAUAAAUCAUCCAAAUCAAGUGUGUGAAGGAUGUCUACUUGGAAACCAAUUCAAAAUGAGCUUUCCA
rnacentral:sRNA from 1 species